AUCCCCUGGCAAUGGGUAAAAGAACACCUUCUUAGUGGUGGUGUUCUUACUUCACUCGGGACAAGCAGGAGGCAGUCCUUUGCUCAUCCUAGCUUGAUACCUGGCAUGGUGGUCAAAGUUGUUUUAUGCCUAGGACAUACAA